rnacentral:rRNA from 1 species
GACGAACGCUGGCGGCGUGCUUAACACAUGCAAGUCGAACGGUGAACGCGGGCUCUUGCUGCGUGCGGGACUGUCGAAAGGGUGUGAAUCACGUGUGUGACCUGUGCUCGGCUUUCUGGGAUCAGCGUUGAACACGACGUAUUAUCCGAGAUCAGCCCCGGCUGGAUGUUGUGUCUGCGUAGGUAGCGCUUCGUUUCGGGGUGGGCUCGCGGCUUAUCAGCUUGUUGGUGGGGUAGCGGCUCACCAAGGCGGCGACGGGUAGCCGGCCUGAGAGGGUGACCGGCCACACUGGGACUGAGAUACGGCCCAGACUCCUACGGGAGGCAGCAGUGGGGAAUAUUGCACAAUGGGCGGAAGCCUGAUGCAGCAACGCCGCGUGCGGGACGACGGCCUUCGGGUUGUAAACCGCUUUUGGCAGUGAAGAAGCGAAAGUGACGGUAAUGGCAGAAGAAGCACCGGCUAACUACGUG